UCCAAGCCAUCCAACCAUUACAUUACAAUAGGCUCGUCUUCUUCUCCAACUGCAUAUUGUUCAAGAAAGUGCGGAGAAGCUGUUCUCUUGUUCCCAAUCUCCACAGUGUUUUUGACGGAGUUUCUGCAGUAGCCUUGUUUUUCCUCUUUUACAACCAGGAAGAAUUUCCGAGAAAUAAGUUUCUAAGAAGCGCUCUUCGGUUCUUCCUCCCCAGUGGAGCAUCGGAGACGUAUUCUUCUCUCAGGUAAGUGAGGUUGAGGUAAUUCAUAGAACUGCUGAAGUAAGUGUUCCUUCGUCGAAUUAUACUCUUGGUGUUAAUGGGUCUGUUCAAAAUAACGUAUCCGUGAAUGAUCCCAACUGGUGUGGUGACUUGUUCGAGCGCAAGUGUUAUAACAGCCGCGUGAGUACUUGGUAGCCCACCCAGACUGCACUUCAGGGUUUCAAUUACAUAUUCUUUUUCUAUUGUGAUGGCGAGAGAUUUAGUGUUUUGGGAUAUGCAGUCUUGGCAAUGUGGCUUGCUGCAUUGUUCUAUGCAUUGGCUAACACAGCCGCAGACCACUUCUGUUGUUCAUUGGAGAAGCUUUCGGGUUUUUUGAAGUUGCCUCCAACUGUGGCAGGAGUUUCUGUGCUUCCACUUAGGAAUGGAGCUCCUGAUGUAUUUGCGAGCAGCUCCUUUUGUCAGCAAGGAUGUGGGCAGCUAUUUUCCUAUGAAAACCUUUUCAAAGGGAUUAAGGGCUAGAAGAUUUCUAAAAAGGAUAAAGAAAAGAGAAGAAAGUUGUAGAGAGGCUGUUGAUUGACUAAUCUUAAAAUUUGUUUUUCAAA